AUUGAACGCUGGCGGCAGGCCUAACACAUGCAAGUCGAGCGAGCGGCGGACGGGUGAGUAAUGUCUGGGGAUCUGCCUGAUGGCGGGGGAUAACUACUGGAAACGGUAGCUACUACCGCAUACCAUAGGAUGAGCCCAAGUGGGAUUAGGUAGUUGGUGAGGUAAAGGCUCACCAAGCCGACGAUCUCUAGCUGGUCUGAGAGGAUGACCAGCCACACGGGGACUGAGACACGGCCCAGACUCCUACGGGAGGCAGCAGUGGGGAAUAUUGCGCAAUGGGGGCAACCUGACGCAGCCAUGCCGCGUGAAUGAAGAAGGCCUUCGGGUUGUAAAGUUCUUUCGGUAGCGAGGCGUUAACUACAGAAGAAGCAACGGCUAACUCCGUGCCAGCCGCCGCGGUAAUUC
rnacentral:rRNA from 1 species